AAUCGCCGUAUACCGAACGGUACGUACGGUGGUGUGAGAGGGGCGGAAAGCUAGUUGGCUUUUCUCUCUACUCGAU
rnacentral:misc_RNA from 1 species